GGCUCAGAACGAACGCUGGCGGCGUGCUUACACAUGCAAGUCGAACGAACCUUCGGGUUAGUGGCGGACGGGUGAGUAACGCGUGAGAAUCUGCCCUCAGGAGGGGGAUAACGGUUGGAAACGACCGCUAAUACCCCAUAUGCCGAGAGGUGAAAAGAAAUUCGCCUGAGGAUGAGCUCGCGUCUGAUUAGCUAGUUGGUGUGGUAAUGGCGCACCAAGGCUUCGAUCAGUAGCUGGUCUGAGAGGAUGAUCAGCCACACUGGGACUGAGACACGGCCCAGACUCCUACGGGAGGCAGCAGUGGG
rnacentral:rRNA from 1 species